AUUGAACGCUGGCGGCGUGCCUAACACAUGCAAGUCGAGCGGCAGCGCGGGGCAACCUGGCGGCGAGCGGCGGACGGGUGAGUAACGCUUGAGAAUCUGCCUAUUAGUGGGGGACAACCCGGGGAAACUCGGGCUAAUACCGCAUACGCACUACGGUGGAAAGCCGGGGACCGCAAGGCCUGGUGCUAAUAGAUGAGCUCAAGUCGGAGUAGCUAGUUGGUAGGGUAAGGGACUACCAAGGCGACAAUCCGUAGCUGGUCUGAGAGGACGACCAGCCACACCGGAACUGAGACACGGUCCGGACUCCUACGGGAGGCAGCAGUGGGGAAUAUUGGACAAUGGGCGAAAGCCUGAUCCAGCGACGCCGCGUGGGUGAAGAAGGCCUGCGGGUUGUAAAGCCCUUUCGGUGGGGAAGAAAUGCUUCGAGCUAAUACCUCGGGGCUUUGACGUAACCCACAGAAGAAGCACCGGCUAACUCUGUGCCAGCCGCCGCAGUAAGAC
rnacentral:rRNA from 1 species